GCGUUGUUCGGAAUUACUGGGCGUAAAGCGCACGUAGGCGGCUUUGUAAGUUAGAGGUGAAAGCCCGGAGCUCAACUCCGGAAUUGCCUUUAAGACUGCAUCGCUAGAACGUCGGAGAGGUGAGUGGAAUUCCGAGUGUAGAGGUGAAAUUCGUAGAUAUUCGGAAGAACACCAGUGGCGAAGGCGACUCACUGGACGACUGUUGACGCUGAGGUGCGAAAGCGUG
rnacentral:rRNA from 1 species